rnacentral:rRNA from 1 species
CCUACGGGUGGCAGCAGUGAGGAAUAUUGGUCAAUGGGCUUACGCCUGAACCAGCCAAGUCGCGUGAGGGAAGACUGCCCUAUGGGUUGUAAACCUCUUUUGUCAGGGAGCAACGCCGGCUACGUGUAGCCGGACUGAGAGUACCUGAAGAAAAAGCAUCGGCUAACUCCGUGCCAGCAGCCGCGGUAAUACGGAGGAUGCGAGCGUUAUCCGGAUUUAUUGGGUUUAAAGUGUGCGUAGGCGGAAUGCCAAGUCAGCGGUAAAAUCGCGGGGCUCAACCUCGCUCCGCCGUUGAAACUGGCGUUCUUGAGUGGGCGAGAAGUAUGCGGAAUGCGUGGUGUAGCGGUGAAAUGCAUAGAUAUAUGGAAGAACACCAGUGGCGAAGGCGGCCGCCUGGCCUGUUACUGACGCUGAGGCACGAAAGCGUGGGGAGCAAAUAGGAUUAGAUACCCGUGUAGUC